CAGCUACAUAGGGAAUUCUUUCAUUAGUUCAAAUUGAGAUAAACCUUUUUGGGGGUAUUGCAGCCCUUCUCAGUUCUAAAUGAAAAUAAUCUGACAAGGACUCCUUAAAGCUGACCAAGAUGAUAGCAUGGGGAACAGUACACCAGGAACACCUUUUCCCUGCUGUUUUUUGUUUUGUUUUAUUUUCCAGUAUUCUUCCGUGAGUUUAGAGAUUUAGUGCUAUAGCAGAAAUGCUAAGUCACGGCUUGAAACAAUGACUGAGUACCUGGUGGGAAAGCAGGGCCAACCCACAGAGCUCAGGUGCAUGCAAUAUGCCUGAGUGACCGGAAGGGGUGGAGCCAGGAUCCACCCCUUCCCAUAUCUCAUUUAAGGGUUGGCAGUGGAGAAAAGGCUGUUUUGCUGAAGAUCCCUGUGUACCUGAGGCCUUCUGAAGAGCUGACUGGAGAAAGGAAGAGGAUAAAUGGCAUAAAACUGGCCAACGUCAGAGGAUGUCCUACAUCAAGUUACAUUCCUAGGUUAUUUGUACUGCCUGAAAAGAGUAAAAAUCUCAUUAAAAGAGAAAAGGAGCAAGCUAUUAUUUUUCUGGAAUAUCCCAACAUAGGCUUAGUGCCAAGCAUGCUGGUGUUGAAGAGGAGAAGCUGUUCUACAGCUGUUCUCAACAUGAGGAAAAACAACUCAGAAAGAAGAAAUUGGAAUAUCUAAUCUUUCUCUUUGGCUUCUGCUUUGCCCCUUCCAGAAGGUGGUAACCAAUAACUCCCUCCUUCCCCCCUUGCUCUUCUCUACUCUGUAACCUCCACAUGCAGCAUCCAAACUAUGCCUACUUCAGAGAAGUGUGCCAAUGCAAAAGGAAUAAAGCUAUAUUAGUGCUAUAAUACAGAGGAAGCAUUGGGAAAGCAGAAGACAGUGCUCACCAACUGCCCCAUUAAGAAUGAGUACCCAGGAUUCAUGGGACAAACAAAAGAUGAAGUUUGACAUGAGUGAAGGGACAAACCACUCUGGAGCAAAUAGUGAUAUCAUAAUGACUGUAAAGUUAAGCUGUCAAUAAAUCCUUGACAGGGUUUUAGAGAAUAACUGAAACAGUCCAUGUUCAUCAAAAUGGGAUGAAUUAGAAGAAAAGCAAUGAAGAGAAACUUGACCAGAAUUUAAGGAAGAAGAGGCUUCAUUAUGAAGAACUGGAAACUAGUAUUUUAUCUGCUCUCCCAGAUGUUGACAUUUUACAAUACUGGACAAGAUCUUCAAAUGCUAAAUCCAUGAUAGCAGGCUUUAAUGGGAGAUAACAUACAAAAGUAGUGUGAAAUCUAAAUCACUUUUUUGUCUUCAGAAAUACCAUCCAUUAUGGGAGAAAGCAGACAAAAUUCCCUGUAUCAAUGAAGCUAGCAGAUUGUCCUAGCAACAACACCUGAAGAAAAUUCAGAAUUACAAGCAACCAAGCUGUCAUCACAGCACUUGUCUCGGGUCAGAAUUCCAGGAUAAUUUGUCAUACAGUGGCAUUGAGUUUGCUUCAAUACUGUUAAGUUAGUGGGGAUGUCAACAGAAUUUUAAUUUGAUAGGUGCAUGUGUAUAUAUGCAUACAAGUGUACCUACCUAGUCAUAAAAGACUAAAAAGGGGCUUAGGAAAAGGAUAUAGAGAAACAUUUCAUUAAUGUUUUUUUUUAAUGUAAUCUUACAUUACUGUUCUCAAAUGAGAAAAAUAUACUGCUUUUACACUCUGGACAACAGGGAAGAAACAAGCAAUCAAGCAAACAAAAAUAUUUGCUUGAGAACACUCUUGUAAAUCCUUGCUUUCAGCUUUUUGGACUCAACCCAAACUGAAACCUCCCACUUCCUUUCUCUGUGAGCCUGGAGACGGAGAGCAAAACCCCCCACUGAAGGCCCUGGCACAAGUACCUGACAAGAUGAGAGCUUUGUAAUAUAUCUGAAUGCUGAUUAUAUGUCCUAAGAAGCUUUUACAUGUUGUAAAGAAGGUGUUGUGACAAGUUUGCAGGAGGUUUGCAGUUACUUCUGUCACAAUAUGAUGACACUGUAUAACAAUUGAGACAAUAACAGAGGAAGGUUGAAGGGCGGUUCAUAAAAAUCUGGAGAAGUUGGACUGUGCAAUCCCCAUGGUACAUGCUACACUGGAGUUAAUAACUCUGGAUUGCACCUUAGCUAAAAUACUUGCAUAACCUUAUUUUUCAUUCCCAUUGCUUGAUUUUAGAUUAGAUUUCAUUUUAAAUGUAUGCCUAUAAUUCAUAGUCUAAGUAUAAACUACUAUAUUGCAUAUAUUCUUAUUUAUGCUGCAGUGUAAUAAAGAGCUGUUGUCUGGCAUAGCUGAUUGAAAUAGAAUACACCAUAAAUUUAAAAUGCUUGCAUCUACUGUGACACUUAAGGUGCUUGCAUUAUGCUGAAGAAGUUACAGAAGUCAUAAACAGCACUUUAAAAGCCUCUCUACUUUUAACCAUGGAAAUUAUCUGAUGCAUAAAAGAAUAAAAUUUCACUAUUUAAAUAUAAAUUUCUAAAAGUCCUCAUUUCCAAAAAACUAUCAUUGAUUUCACUGUAGCCAAAUGGCUACUGGCCUUAAUGACUUUCACUAGAAGCUUCCUGGAGUAGUUCAAAAGCAAAAAAAUAUAAACACAGGCACUUGGCAGGUCAAGUCUUUCCAUUCAUUUUCUGCUGUUUCUCACACUCACGUCAGUUUUGCCACAUUUAUUAAGAAGACUUUUCACAUAUAUAUUCAACAGCUGCUUAUGAUACAUAUUAUUAUGCAAUGCAAAUUAUACUCCUUCUCAUCAAAGACAACACUCCUCUAAUACCAGGGUGAGGUAGAGAGGCAGGAUAACAAGGCAUAACAGUCCUGGUAUUCGGUCUAAUGUCUUAAAUGGAAGGGCAUCUUCUCAAGCAAUCUUAUGUGGAAGACUUUCUUACCUUCAACAUAAACAUAGCCCUAAAAAUAACAUUCCUCCACAGACAAGCACACUCUCCAAGUCAUGUGAAACCCAGCAAACACACAUUCCUGAAGCUCACAAGUAAUCCAAACUAAUCCCAAGCCUCUAGAUAUCCAGGCAACCAUACUGAAAUAUGAGAAAAUGCAUUCACUUCAUCUGAUCUGAGGCUUUGUUGCAAAUUCAAAUGUCUACAUAACACAGUACAACUUCAUGCUCUUGGUCUCGUUGAUUUCCUGCAUACAAGGUUCCCCUAACCCUGAUACCGAAGACCAAGGAAAAGUCCCCUAAGUUUAACUUCUAGGACACUUAUGUUAUCAGUGCUAUUCAUAAGUACUAUCUCAAAUUCUGACAUGAAUUUGAGAAUUGGGUCGUUAAGAGGAAGAAAUUAUGUGGGAAAUACUAUUCUCCCUGUUCAAUGAAAUGAGUCAAAUUUAGAAGAUACUGUGUAUUUCCCUUCUGAAAGCCUCUUAUUCACCCUAAAAUUCCAUAGUAACCAAGAGAAUACUCCUUACAUCAACAAGACUUCAAUCCCAGUAAAAGCCCUCUUUCUAUUUUCCAGAAAUCAAGUUUUCAAAUUACUGUCUGAUUCAUUAUACUAAGCAAGACCAAAAUCCUAACCGUAGUUAUUGCUUGAUGCAGGUUCAUAAGAAACAGAGAAAAGUGAAGCCACAGGAAGAAGUUUCUCAUCUUUAAUUCAGUAAAAACAAAAUAUGUACAACAACUUGAUGCAUUUCCAGGCCUUUGGAGGUUUCGUUGGAAGGCUACCCACUCUAAUGAUUUCCUGUUGUAAUUGCACAAAAAGGAGUUUCCUCCUUAUUCAUUUGCAUCUUUCUUGUCCCACUUUUUUUUUUUUUUUCAGUGAGAUGAUUUAGCACUAGUGUCCACUGAACAAAAAAAAUCCUGAUUAAUGUGCAGCAGCUGACAUUAUAGCAUAUACAUUCAUGCAAGUGAUGGAAGAGCCUCACGUAAUUGCAUAAGAAAUUGAAUAAAAUGAUGAAAAAUUUAACACGGUCUUUGUCUUUACACAUUACAUUGGGAUGGUUGGGAGGU
ensembl:lncRNA